rnacentral:rRNA from 1 species
AGGAUGUUGGGUUAAGUCCCGCGACGAGCGCAACCCCUAUUGUUAGUUGCCAUCAUUCAGUUGGGCACUCUAGCGAGACUGCCGGUAAUAAACCGGAGGAAGGUGGGGAUGACGUCAAAUCAUCAUGCCCCUUAUGACCUGGGCUACACACGUGCUACAAUGGUUGGUACAACGAGUUGCGAGUCGGUGACGGCGAGCUAAUCUCUUAAAGCCAAUCUCAGUUCGGAUUGUAGGCUGCAACUCGCCUACAUGAAGUCGGAAUCGCUAGUAAUCGCGGAUCAGCACGCCGCGGUGAAUACGUUCCCGGGCCUU